rnacentral:rRNA from 1 species
CUGGCUCAGGAUGAACGCUGGCGGCGUGCCUAACACAUGCAAGUCGAACGAAGCACUUAGACAGAACCUUCGGGUGACGUAUGGUGACUGAGUGGCGGACGGGUGAGUAACGCGUGGGUAACCUGCCCUGUACAGGGGGAUAACAGUUAGAAAUGACUGCUAAUACCGCAUAAGCGCACGAUGGUAGCAUUACCAGGUGUGAAAAACUCCGGUGGUACAGGAUGGGCCCGCGUCUGAUUAGCUAGUUGGCGGGUAAGAGCCCACCAAGGCGACGAUCAGUAGCCGGUCUGAGAGGAUGAACGGCCACAUUGGAACUGAGACACGGUCCAGACUCCUACGGGAGGCAGCAGUGGGGAAUAUUGCACAAUGGGGGGAACCCUGAUGCAGCAACGCCCGCGUGAGUGACGAAGUAUUUCGGUAUGUAAAGCUCUAUCAGCAGGGAAGAUAAUGACGGUACCUGACUAAGAAGCUCCGGCUAAAUACGUGCCAGCAGCUGC